AUUGAACGCUGGCGGAAUGCUUUACACAUGCAAGUCGAACGGUAGAGGGGGCAACCCCUCGAGAGUGGCGAACGGGUGAGUAAUAUAUCGGAACGUGCCCAGUCGUGGGGGAUAAAGUAGCGAAAGUUACGCUAAUACCGCAUACGAUCUAAGGAUGAAAGCGGGGGAUCGCAAGACCUCGCGCGAUUGGAGCGGCCGAUAUCAGAUUAGGUAGUUGGUGGGGUAAAGGCUCACCAAGCUAACGAUCUGUAGCUGGUCUGAGAGGACGAACGGCCACACUGGAACUGAGACACGGUCCAGACUCCUACGGGAGGCAGCAGUUGGGAAUUUUGGACAAUGGACGCAAGUCUGAUCCAGCCAUUCCGCGUGCAGGAUGAAGGCCCUCGGGUUGUAAACUGCUUUUGUACGGAACGAAAAGGUCUCUCUUAAUACGGGGGACUCAUGACGGUACCGUAAGAAUAAGCACCGGCUAACUACGUGCCAGCCGCCGCCGUAAUAC
rnacentral:rRNA from 1 species